rnacentral:misc_RNA from 1 species
GAACGCAAAUUGCACUCCCUGGUAUUCCGGGGAGUAUGCCUGUUUGAGGGUCGUUAGAAAAAAAUCGAGGCGUCGCACUUUUUUUUUAGGGUGAUCGCGUCGGAAUUGAGCCGUCUUUCAAAUGUUAAUUCAUGUCAAAGUGGCUUAAAAUUCAUCCAUCCGGUACGAUUAAAGCGUAUUUAAGAUCAAUUUUGUUCAAGAACGCGCGAUGACGUACCAUCUCAUGUAGUACGUUUGACUUGGCGUCGUCAGGAUCAUUCGUAUACGAUACUCAACUUUUGACCUCAAAUCAGGUAGGAAUACCCGCUGAACUUAAG